rnacentral:rRNA from 1 species
UACGUAGGGUCCAAGCGUUGUCCGGAAUUAUUGGGCGUAAAGAGCUCGUAGGCGGUGUGUCGCGUCGGAUGUGAAAGCCCGGGGCUUAACCCCGGGUCUGCAUUCGGUACGGGCAUGCUGGAGUUCGGUAGGGGAGACUGGAAUUCCUGGUGUAGCGGUGAAAUGCGCAGAUAUCAGGAGGAACACCGGUGGCGAAGGCGGGUCUCUGGGCCGAUACUGACGCUGAGAAGCGAAAGCAUGGGGAGCGAACAGG